AGUCUGACAGAAACAUCUUUGGCUACCUGAUCAGAAGAGCACAAAUGCAUGAAGAUCAUCCAUGGGGAGCAACAGCUACACCCGAAGUUCAUCCAGCUCAUCCUGUGAGAAGUCAAAACAGUGCUCCAUCAUACCUCUAAAUCUCACCCAUGGGAGCAAAAUAGGAAACAUGCUCGCUAGGAUACCAUAUUAAUGGAGUGAUACAGAUUGCAACAUGCAGCUCCAGAAGUCACAGGAACAGAAGUUUUAACCCAACAUUGACUAAUUAAACUGAACUAAAUCAA